rnacentral:miRNA from 1 species
UUUGGAUCCCGACCCCUCUUC